rnacentral:misc_RNA from 1 species
CUCUGUAAAUUCAAUGCUUUAGACAUAAUAAAUCAACUUUCCUUUUACGAAUUGCGAAUAUGUACAAUUACACUUUGAGCUCAAGCAUCUUACGUACUAAAUAAUCGCACGUUGGAAAUGCUUGGCAGCAGACUAUCGUACUUGUUCACAUUCCAUAGUUUUUCAGUUGCCACCAUGGAUGGUUUGGAGUCUGCUGCAAUUUCCAUUCUGAAGCGGGCAGUGGACCUGGAUGCAAAACACCGAUGGACAGAGUCAAUGACAUGCUAUCAGGAGGGACUUCAGCUUCUAAUGGAAGUAAUCAAGGGGCUGCCGGAGAGUCCGCGGCGCCUGGCCUUCCGCACAAAGGCCACCGAGUACAUGGACCGGGCGGAGAAGCUGAAGGCGCUGAUCGAGUCUGAGAAGAAGCUGGGCAAGUACCACGAGCAGGUGCACAUCGAGGACAACUCAACUGGCCACAGCUACGAAAGCGUGCUCGGCCGCUUCCUGGACGGCCGCGUCAGGAGCGUCGAGGUGGAGGACCCCUACAUCCGCAGCGUGCACCAGUGCUACAACCUACUCCGGCUAUGCGAACUGUGCGUGAAGAAGUGCCCAAAUCUGCAGUUCAUCCGACUGUUGACCGGCAGUGACCCGGGCGACGAGCAUGCGCAGAAGGCGCGACUCACAGAGAUCUGCACAUCCAUGGCAGACUUUGGCGUCAAGUUGAUCGUCAACUACUCUGACACGCUUCACGACAGAGAGAUACGAGCUCCUGUGCCUCUGUGACUACGUCAGAGCUGAGACUCAAAAGGGACAAGCGUGGGGUAGUACAGCGUCCACCCCGAGUCACCUUUGACACCCAGGGGAUGCACAGAGAACCCAGACCGGAGUUGUGCCGCUGCUCGGGCGGAGCCCCUGCUCUCAGGGCAGCCGACUGAUGACUGCUAGGCGCGACAUACUCAAGGCUGGACAGUGGCUGGAUCAUCAAGAUAGGCAGAGGCCUCAGCUACUUCAAACCGCCCGCAGGAAAGUUCUG